GACGAACGCUGGCGGCGUGCCUAAUACAUGCAAGUAGAACGCACAGUUUAAACCGUAGCUUGCUACACCAUAAACUGUGAGUUGCGAACGGGUGAGUAACGCGUAGGUAACCUGCCUGGUAGCGGGGGAUAACUAUUGGAAACGAUAGCUAAUACCGCAUAAUAUUGAUUAUUGCAUGAUAAUUGAUUGAAAGAUGCUAUUGCAUCACUACCAGAUGGACCUGCGUUGUAUUAGCUAGUAGGUGAGGUAACGGCUCACCUAGGCGACGAUACAUAGCCGACCUGAGAGGGUGAUCGGCCACACUGGGACUGAGACACGGCCCAGACUCCUACGGGAGGCAGCAGUAGGGAAUCUUCGGCAAUGGACGAAAGUCUGACCGAGCAACGCCGCGUGAGUGAAGAAGGUUUUCGGAUCGUAAAGCUUGGUUGUAAGAGAAGAACGGGUGUGAGAGUGGAAAGUUCACACUGUGACGGUAUCUUACCAGAAAGGGACGGCUAACUACGUG
rnacentral:rRNA from 1 species